rnacentral:rRNA from 1 species
UGGGGAAUAUUGGACAAUGGGCGAAAGCCUGAUCCAGCCAUGCCGCGUGUGUGAAGAAGGUCUUCGGAUUGUAAAGCACUUUAAGUUGGGAGGAAGGGCAGUAAGCGAAUACCUUGCUGUUUUGACGUUACCGACAGAAUAAGCACCGGCUUACUCUGUGCCAGCAGCCGCGGUAAUACAGAGGGUGCAAGCGUUAAUCGGAAUUACUGGGCGUAAAGCGCGCGUAGGUGGUUCGUUAAGUUGAAUGUGAAAGCCCCGGGCUCAACCUGGGAACUGCAGCCAAAACUGGCGAGCUAGAGUAGGGCAGAGGGUGGUGGAAUUACCUGUGUAGCGGUGAAAUGCGUAGGUAUAGGAAGGAAGACCAGUGGCGAAGGCGGCCACCUGGGCUCAUACUGACGCUGAGGUGCGAAAGCGUGGGGAGCAAACAGG